rnacentral:rRNA from 1 species
UGGGGAAUUUUGGACAAUGGGCGAAAGCCUGAUCCAGCAAUGCCGCGUGUGUGAAGAAGGCCUUCGGGUUGUAAAGCACUUUCAGCGAGGAGGAAGGUGGUGGACUUAAUACGUUCAUCAAUUGACGUUACUCGCAGAAGAAGCACCGGCUAACUCCGUGCCAGCAGCCGCGGUAAUACGGAGGGUGCAAGCGUUAAUCGGAAUUACUGGGCGUAAAGCGCACGCAGGCGGUUUGUUAAGUCAGAUGUGAAAUCCCCGGGCUCAACCUGGGAACUGCAUUUGAAACUGGCAAGCUAGAGUCUCGUAGAGGGGGGUAGAAAUUCCAGGUGUAGCGGUGAAAUGCGUAGAGAUCUGGAGGAAUACCGGUGGCGAAGGCGGCCCCCUGGACGAAGACUGACGCUCAGGUGCGAAAGCGUGGGGAGCAAAACAGGAUUAGAUACCCUGGUAGUCCCANNGCUGUAAACGAUGUAUCGAGUUUGGAGGUUGUGCCCCUUGAGGCGUGGCUUCCGGAGCUAACGCGUAAAUCGACCGCCUGGGGAGUCGGCCGCAAGGUUAAAACUUAAAGGAAUUGAC